rnacentral:rRNA from 1 species
UACGCAGGGUGCAAGCGUUAAUCGGAAUUACUGGGCGUAAAGCGUGCGCAGGCGGCUAUGCAAGACAGAUGUGAAAUCCCCGGGCUCAACCUGGGAACUGCAUUUGUGACUGCAUGGCUAGAGUACGGCAGAGGGGGAUGGAAUUCCGCGUGUAGCAGUGAAAUGCGUAGAUAUGCGGAGGAACACCGAUGGCGAAGGCAAUCCCCUGGGCCUGUACUGACGCUCAUGCACGAAAGCGUGGGGAGCAAACAGG